rnacentral:rRNA from 1 species
GGGCUCACACAAGCGGUGGAGGAUGUGGCUUAAUUCGAGGCUACGCGAAGAACCUUAUCCUAGAUUUGACAUGCUUGAGAAUUCCUUCGAAAGAAGGAAGUGCCCCUCGGGGAGCUUUUGCACAGGUGCUGCAUGGCUGUCGUCAGCUCGUGUCGUGAGAUGUCGGGUUAAGUCCCUUAACGAGCGAAACCCUUAUCUCUAGUUGCCAGCGGGUAAUGCCGGGGACUCUAGAGAGACUGCCGGUGUCAAACCGGAGGAAGGUGGGGAUGACGUCAAGUCCUCAUGGCCUUUAUGUCUAGGGCUGCACACGUCCUACAAUGGUACGGACAAACGGACGCGAAACCGCGAGGUGGAGCAAAUCCCACAAAGCCGAUCUUAGUCCGGAUCGCAGUCUGCAACUCGACUGCGUGAAGUUGGAAUCGCUAGUAA